rnacentral:rRNA from 1 species
CCUACGGGUGGCAGCAGUGAGGAAUAUUGGUCAAUGGGCGGAAGCCUGAACCAGCCAAGCCGCGUGAAGGACGAAGGUGCCACGCAUUGUAAACUUCUUUUGUCAGGGAACAAAAUCAGGCUCUAGAGCCUGACCGAGGGUACUUGAAGAAAAAGCAUCGGCUAACUCCGUGCCAGCAGCCGCGGUAAUACGGAGGAUGCGAGCGUUAUCCGGAUUUAUUGGGUUUAAAGGGUGCGUAGGCGGACUGUUAAGUCAGCGGUAAAAGCCCGGGGCUCAACCCCGGCGAGCCGUUGAAACUGGCUGUCUGGAGAUGGAGAGAGGUAUGCGGAAUGCGCAGUGUAGCGGUGAAAUGCUUAGAGAUUGUGCAGAACUCCGAUUGCGAAGGCAGCAUACCGGCGGAGAUCUGACGCUGAGGCACGAAAGCGUGGGUAGCGAACAGGAUUAGAUACCCGUGUAGUC